rnacentral:rRNA from 1 species
ACGAACGCUGGCGGCGUGCUUAACACAUGCAAGUCGAACGGAAAGGCCCUGCUUUUGUGGGGUGCUCGAGUGGCGAACGGGUGAGUAACACGUGAGUAACCUGCCCUUGACUUUGGUAUAACUUCAGGAAACUGGGGCUAAUACCGGAUAGGAGCUCCUGCUGCAUGGUGGGGGUUGGAAAGUUUCGGCGGUUGGGGAUGGACUCGCGGCUUAUCAGCUUGUUGGUGGGGUAGUGGCUUACCAAGGCUUUGACGGGUAGCCGGCCUGAGAGGGUGACCGGCCACAUUGGGACUGAGAUACGGCCCAGACUCCUACGGGAGGCAGCAGUGGGGAAUAUUGCACAAUGGGCGGAAGCCUGAUGCAGCAACGCCGCGUGCGGGAUGACGGCCUUCGGGUUGUAAACCGCUUUCGCCUGUGACGAAGCGUGAGUGACGGUAAUGGGUAAAGAAGCACCGGCUAACUACGUG